rnacentral:rRNA from 1 species
AUUGAACGCUGGCGGCAGGCCUAACACAUGCAAGUCGAACGAGUGGCGGACGUGUGAGUAAUGUCUGGGAAACUGCCUGAUGGAGGGGGAUAACUACUGGAAACGGUAGCUAAUACCGCAUACCAUCGGAUGUUCCCAGAUGGGAUUAGCUAGUAGGUGGGGUAACGGCUCACCUAGGCGACGAUCCCUAGCUGGUCUGAGAGGAUGACCAGCCACACUGGAACUGAGACACGGUCCAGACUCCUACGGGAGGCAGCAGUGGGGAAUAUUGCACAAUGGGCGAAAGCCUGAUGCAGCCAUGCGGCGUGUAUGAAGAAGGCCUUCGGGUUGUAAAGUACUUGCAGCGGGGAGGCGUUACCCGCAGAAGAAGCACCGGCUAACUCCGGGCCAGCAGCCGCGGUAAUUC